GCUUGCUGGGUGGAUUAGUGGCGAACGGGUGAGUAACACGUGAGUAACCUGCCCCCGACUCUGGGAUAAGCCCGGGAAACUGGGUCUAAUACCGGAUAUGACCUCGCACCGCAUGGUGCGGGGUGGAAAGAUUUAUCGGUGGGGGAUGGACUCGCGGCCUAUCAGCUUGUUGGUGAGGUAAUGGCUCACCAAGGCGACGACGGGUAGCCGGCCUGAGAGGGUGACCGGCCACACUGGGACUGAGACACGGCCCAGACUCCUACGGGAGGCAGCAGUGGGGAAUAUUGCACAAUGGGCGCAAGCCUGAUGCAGCGACGCCGCGUGAGGGAUGACGGCCUUCGGGUUGUAAACCUCUUUCAGUAGGGAAGAAGCGAAAGUGACGGUACCUGCAGAAGAAGCGCCGGCUAACUACGUGCCAGCAGCCGCGGUAAUACGUAGGGCGCAAGCGUUAUCCGGAUUUAUUGGGCGUAAAGAGCUCGUAGGCGGUUUGUCGCGUCUGCCGUGAAAGUCCGAGGCUCAACCUCGGAUCUGCGGUGGGUACGGGCAGACUAGAGUGAUGUAGGGGAGACUGGAAUUCCUGGUGUAGCGGUGAAAUGCGCAGAUAUCAGGAGGAACCACCGAUGGCGAAGGCAGGUCUCUGGGCAUUUACUGACGCUGAGGAGCGAAAGCAUGGGGAGCGAACAGGAUUAGAUACCCUGGUAGUCCAUGCCGUAAACGUUGGGCACUAGUGUGGGGGACAUUCCACGUUUUCCGCGCCGUAGCUAACGCAUUAAGUGCCCCGCCUGGGGAGUACGGCCGCAAGGCUAAACUCAAGGAAUUGACGGGGCCCGCACAGCGGCGGAGCAUGCGGAUUA
rnacentral:rRNA from 1 species